rnacentral:rRNA from 1 species
CGGCGAGUGAAGAGGGAAAAGCUCAAAUUUUGAAUCUGGUGUCUUUGACUCCCGAGUUGUAAUCUAGAGAAGUGUUUUCCGUCUCGGACCGUGCACAAGUUCCCUGGAACGGGGCGUCAUAGAGGGUGAGAAUCCCGUAUAUGGCACGGACUGCCGAUGCUUUUGUGAUACACUCUCAACGAGUCGAGUUGUUUGGGAAUGCAGCUCAAAAUGGGUGGUAAAUUCCAUCUAAAGCUAAAUAUUGGCGAGAGACCGAUAGCGAACAAGUACCGUGAGGGAAAGAUGAAAAGCACUUUGGAAAGAGAGUGAAACAGUACGUGAAAUUGUUGAAAGGGAAGCGUUUGAAGUCAGUCGUAUCUGGCGGGAUUCAGUCGAGCUUUUGCCCGGUGUACUUCUCGUCCGAUGGGUCAGCAUCAAUUUCGACCGGGGGAAAAAGAUGUGGGGAAUGUGGCUGUCUUCGGGCAGUGUUAUAGCCCCGUGUUGUAUGCCUCGGUCGGGAUUGAGGAACGCAGCGCGCCUAUAGGCCAGGGG